rnacentral:rRNA from 1 species
UCGUAACAAGGUUUCCGUAGGUGAACCUGCGGAAGGAUCAUUACUGAGUGAGGGCCCUCUGGGUCCAACCUCCCACCCGUGUUUAUUAUACCUUGUUGCUUCGGCGGGCCCGCCGUAAGGCCGCCGGGGGGCUUCUGCCCCCGGGCCCGCGCCCGCCGAAGACAUCUCGAACUCUGUCUGAAGAUUGUAGUCUGAGUAUAAAUAUAAAUUAUUUAAAACUUUCAACAACGGAUCUCUUGGUUCCGGCAUCGAUGAAGAACGCAGCGAAAUGCGAUACGUAAUGUGAAUUGCAGAAUUCAGUGAAUCAUCGAGUCUUUGAACGCACAUUGCGCCCUCUGGUAUUCCGGAGGGCAUGCCUGUCCGAGCGUCAUUGCUGCCCUCAAGCACGGCUUGUGUGUUGGGCCCCGUCCUCCGAUCCCGGGGGACGGGCCCGAAAGGCAGCGGCGGCACCGCGUCCGGUCCUCGAGCGUAUGGGGCUUUGUCACCCGCUCUGUAGGCCCGGCCGGCGCUUGCCGAUCAACCAAAUUUUUAUCCAGGUUGACCUCGGAUCAGGUAGGGAUACCCGCUGAACUUAAGCAUAU